rnacentral:rRNA from 1 species
AACGCGAAGAACCUUACCAGCCUUUGACAUGGCAGGACGACUUCCGGAGACGGAUUUCUUCCAGCAAUGGACCUGCACACAGGUGCUGCAUGGCUGUCGUCAGCUCGUGUCGUGAGAUGUUGGGUUAAGUCCCGCAACGAGCGCAACCCUCGCCUCUAGUUGCCAUCAUUCAGUUGGGCACUCUAGAGGGACUGCCGGUGAUAAGCCGAGAGGAAGGUGGGGAUGACGUCAAGUCCUCAUGGCCCUUACGGGCUGGGCUACACACGUGCUACAAUGGCGGUGACAGUGGGAUGCGAACCCGCGAGGGUAAGCAAAUCUCCAAAAGCCGUCUCAGUUCGGAUUGCACUCUGCAACUCGAGUGCAUGAAGUGGAAUCGCUAGUAAUCGUGGAUCAGCAUGGCCCCGUUAAAUACUUUCCCGGGUCUUGUACACACCG